AGGGCCACACCUGCAGCAUAUGAAGAUUCCCAGUCUAGAGGUCUCAUCAGACCUACAGGCUCAGGCCUACACCACAGCCACAGCAACCCGGGAUCCGAGCCAUGUCUGCGACCUACACCACAGCUCACAGCAACGCCGGAUCAUCGACGCACUGAGGGAGGCCAGGGAUCGAACCCACAACCUCAUGAUUCCUAGUUGGAUUCAUUUCUGCUGCACUACGAUGGGAACUCCUCCUUUAUUAGUUUUAAUAGAUUUUUAGUGAAUUCCUUAGAUUUUCCUAUACAAGAUCACGUCAGCAGCAAAUAAAGACACUUUUAUUUCUUCCUCUCCAAUCUGUAUGCCUUUCAUUAUCUUUCCUAAUUGCCCUUGAUGAUAAAUCUGAAGCUGGUGACUGACUCUGAUUUGGACAGAGCCCUUUCCAAACAAGCAGCAGCUGUACGACCCUUAGCGACCAGGCUCACACUCCUCUUGCCACGCCUGCCGAGUCCAAGAGUCCCCCAGAUCCAGCCUUUCCUGGUUAGUUACUCUCCACGCACCCCCUUCUCUGCUCUGCACCGGGGAAGCUGAGGCCUGUGGAUGCAGGCGCCUGGCUCCCUCACCAGCUGGGGUCCUGCAGGGUCAGCUGUUGGAGGCAUGGGCAGGAGGAGAGAGAACGUGGGCUAUAGGCUUCCCAGCUCUACCGGCUUAGGUGCCACAGUCCUGCCUUGGGACUGUCAACCCUUCCUGGAGCCUGGAGGAAACACCAUUUCCUCUCCCGACCCCUUCAAGCCUGGAUGUAAUAAUGACUUCCCUCCAUUGCUCAUCCCUGGGGCCCUCAUCCUCCCCUGCUGGGAGCCUCGUUUGCCUUGGCUGAUGAAUUCAGCUCCUCAGAAUCAAAGUGUGACGUCAGCCAUUCCUGGCCAGCCUUUACUGCUAUUCUGCCAAACGCCCAGCCCCCAAACAUUCCUGUAAAGGCCGGCGCUAUGGAACCUCACUGAGAAAACCUGGUUCUCUGGUGAACUGCUCACCAACGCUCAGAGUCCGUGAACCGAGGGGAUGGACGGGAAUUCAGUGACAAAUGGCCUCGGUUCCUGGAAGGAGCAAAGUAAACAGCGACCCAGACAGGACAUGACCUUGACUGUGGCUGUACUUGACUCCCCAGGAAGACGUGCCUCUGUGGCCCCCUGAUCAGACCUUUCACCCUGCUCUGGAAUUCGAGCACCAAAACUGGCCAGAGGCCUCCCAGCGACGGGGUCCUGGGCACCCGCUCCUGCUGGUUUCAUCCCAGUGACCACAGGCACCUGGCAAAGUUCAGGAGCACAGAUGCCUCUUGCCUGGGCUUGCCACCGAGUGCCACCCACUGCACAAAGGGCCUCACAUUCUCUCAUUUAACCACCAAAACCUUGCAAGGUGAGUAGUAUGGCCCCAGCUCUGUGAGUAAGGAAACGGAAACUCAGGAUAAGAAGCGUGGCCACGGUCUCAAAGCCCAAAGCACUCGUAUUCCAUUCUGCCCACCUUCCCAAGGGGCACCUCCGUGGUGGCCCUGCUCCCCAGGAGCCCCUGUGGGCAGAUCUCAGACCUGCCGUCCUAUGUAGGUUCUCCCUGCUGCCUGCCAACCUCCAGCUGUGCCUCCCUGACCAUCAUGCCCGCCCCGGCCACCCCGGGGCAUUCCAUCACUGGGUGAGGGCCUCCUCCUGGGCCAGCCCGAUCAGCGUCACACCCGCAUCCUAUCUCCUCACCAGCACAGCCUUCCCCCCCCGCCCCCCGGGCUAACUGUCUCAUCGGUCCUGAUGCCUGUGGAGGUGGGAGCCCAGCUUCACGCCCAGCAGAGUGGGGCAGAAACCUCCCUGGGGGUGAAGUUCCGCAGAGAUGACCCGAGGCUCACAGACUGGCACUGGCCUUGUUCCCACAGGGCCGGCCCUGUGAGGGCAGAGCAGCGGGGUGGCCCCAGGAGCUCCGGCAGUGACAACCCAGUGACAAUCGGACGACCGCAGGCCCUUGGCCUGCUCAGCAGGCUCUCCUGUGCCCAGACCCGCCUUCCGCUCCCCCACAGCAGGGCGAGCUCACUGAACGUGAUGCUUCCUCCUCAACGUGGAGGAGUGAGGAAGUGCUCCAGGAAGGCAGGGGCAGCCCGGCAGGGAACUUGAGACUUUUGGAAAAACAGGGUUUUAGGACCAGGGUAGUAAAUCAGUGAGGAAAGCCUUGGGCGACAGAUUGCUGUUCCCAUUUUCUCAGUCCCCCGGGAGGCCUGCUCAGCGCCACCCACCCUUCUCUGUGGGAAGAGGUCACGUCUUACAGAAACCACAAAAACAACACUCAUGAAUGAUGGCUACACUUGUCUGUCAAGUGCCAGGCCUGGGACGAGGCACAGGCCAGGUCCUCUCCUACACUUAUGAGCUGGAUAUGAUCCCACCUGACAACCCUAUUGAGCUGUAACUUGAAAAUUAUAUUUAACAAUAUUGUCCCUCACUUCCUUCCUCUUUUUUCCCCCUUUUUUGUAGGGCCGCACUUGUACCAUAUGGAAGUUCCCAGGCUAGAGGUUGAAAUAGAGCUGCAGCUGCCAGCCUACGCCAGAGCCACAGCAGCCCGGGAUCCGAGCUGAGUCUGCCACCUACACCAGCUCAGGGCAAUGCUGGAUCCUUGAUCCACUGAGUGAGGCGGGUCCCUGGGUCCUGACAGAGAGCUCCUAAAACCCUUGGAACUUCCUGAGUCUUAAGGGAGAAAGGAGCAACUUUUCUCAUUCAAAAUGAGCCCCUUUCCAUCACACCUGGGGUUAUGCUAAUGAGGUGACUCCCCGUGGGGCCCUAGGUAGCUUCAGGAUGGGGGCAGGCUGCCAGAGGAGCCAACCAUGUGGCUAGAAGUCUGGCACUUUCAGACCAACCUCCCCCUCCCAUGUGGAGGGGAGGGAUUGGAGACUGAGUUACACGCCAACCCAACGGCCUGUCACACCCAUGUAGCUGAACCUCCAUGAAGACUCCAAAAGAGGAGUUCCCCUUGUGGCUCGGUGAUACCCAACCUAACUAGUAUCCAUGAGGACUCAGGUUCAAUCCCUGGCCUCAAUCCCUGGCCUCGCUCAGUGGGUUAGGAUCUGGUGUGGCUGUGGCUGUGGCGUAGGUCAUCCACAGUUAAAGCCCUGAUGAGCCCCCGAGCCUGGGAACUUCCAUAUGCUGCGGGUGCAGCCCUAAAAAGACAAAACAAACAAACAAACCAAAAAAACCUCCAAACGAGGGAGUUCCCUGGUGGUCUAAUGGUUAGGAUUUGGUGCUUCUAUCUGUGUGGCCCAGGUUCAAUCCCUGGUCUGAGAAAUAAGAUCCCACAUCAAGCUGCUGCAUGCUGCAGCUGAAAAACAAAACGAAACAAAACUCCAAACCAUGAGGUUCAGAGAACUUCCAGGUUGGUGAACGCACCUGUGUGCCAAGAGGGUGGUGCACCCCAGCCCCUGGGGACGGAAGCUCCUGCACCCCGGACCCUUACAGACCUCGCCCUGUACACCUCUCCAUCGGGCUGUUCGCCGCAUCCUUUACAACAAACUCGUAACAGGAAGUAAAGUACUGUUCGGAGUUCUGUGAGCAGUCCUCUCAAAUUAUCCAUUCGAGGAGGGGUCCUGGGAACGUGAAUCACAACUGGCUGGUCGGAGGCCAGGAGGCCAGGCCCUGCACUUGGUGUGACGCGGGGCCGUCUUGCAGGCUGAGCUCUUGGGCUGUGGGGCUGCGCUAACUCACUUCCAGCGUCACAAGUGAAGUGAGUUGGAGGAUAUGUAGCUGAUGUGUGCGGAGACCUGGAGAGUCGGUUGGUGUGGGGGAAGAACCCUUCCUAUCUGACCUCAGAAGUGUUACAAGUGAGAAAGAGUUCAAACCUGUUAGUCCACCUAUGAAGCAGGCUGCAGACUGUCUCUUCAGCUUCAUAAACUGUCAACUGCAAGACUGUGAUCGGGUCUUGUGCAAUCAGAUCCAUCAAGUGUUUAUGGAGCACCUACCGCCCGUAUCACGUUUUUGAAGGACAGAAGAGAAUAAAAAACACAGCUUCUGCCUCCAAGAAACAUUCUAUGUGGGGAGGAGACCAGACCAGUACACUUGAAAUAUAAAGGACUAUUAAACACUAGCAUUCGCCAAGGAACUGCUUUGAGAGAAAAGGGAAGAGGGGGUGGGUAACGGGGCUGGGGAGAGCGAGGCAAGGUGUCACGGGAGGGGACUUGACCUGGGCUCAAGGAAGGAGCCAAGCAAGAGGCACCGGGGGUGGGUGCCUGGCACACAGGUGUCAGCCCCUGCUGGGGGGCAGAUGGGUGGUGAGAGGGUCUGGCAUCCUCUCCCUGCAAGCCCGGUCUGGCCUGAUGAGUGAAGGGUCAGGGGCCACCAGGCAGAUGCUGAUCAAGUGAAACGUCUGGAAUCAACAGAAGAUGAAGCUGAAUGGAGCCUCUGUGACCCGCCAGGUACUAUCAGGCACCUGAACAAGAGAGAGCAGGACCCUGCCCUCGUGAAAGUGACGUCCUGCUCUAGUCAGAAGAAGACCACAUACGUAAGAUUGUUCCAGACCCAUCCCGAUUAGUGAGACCCAACUGCCUCCUGGUCUCAGGCUUCCUCCUCAAGACAGCUGCCCCUUAAAGUUCCUGACGGAGAAUAAAGUCAAAGGAACCACUCCAUCCCUGGUCCAGGACCGCAGGGAAAAGGCCCGCUGCUUAUCUGCUUCUGCUCUUGGGACGCGUGGAUCGAAGCAGAGGGGACGGUAUGUCUCUCCCUCCUGCCAGUUUCUCAAACCACACACACACACCGCCAGUUUCUCGCUUCUUGAAUCCUUGUCCCAUGACUCGGAGCAAACUCUGGCCUGUUUGCAGUUGAAGAUAAGAACCAGAAGCCAUUUGGGGCCCUUAUCAGUUUCUCCUCCCUGUGAAUUGAGGGAAAGGUUUUCUUCUAAGCAACUGGGAAAAGUCCUCUCCCGUUAGAUCUGAGCUGCGAGUCUGUAAAAAUGCCAGAAAUCUGGCUCCCAGAAGGCGGUGCAUACCUGCCUUCCCUCUGCUGCCGUCUAGGACACGGUCACCAGUCUUGAGAAGAGCUGAUUGUGGCCCUUCAGGCUUGGUCCCAGAGGAGAGCUGGGCCUUCCUGCUCUGCAGCCCCUCGAGCAUUUCAUCAAGGCCCAGGUGAGCCAAGGACCUGGAGCACAGCAUGUGUGUGCUCGGGGCUCCUGGGCUCGUGCUGUGCUCAGAGCAGGCUCUUCCUCUGACCAGAGAGCUUCAUCGUCUCCAUAAGGGACCCCAGUCCAGGGAACCAUGUGACCUUUCCCCUAAAUGUCACCACCACACAGAGGCAUUCUGGCCCAGGGCUCUGGGACCCACUGCCCAUGUUCUUCUGUCCCCUGGGCUCAGGCAGGGUUUGCCUACCCUGGCUCCUCAGUUUUGCCCAUCCCUGGCCAGAACAGUCCCCAUGAUCCCAUGAGCAAUGACCCAGCCCAGGAUCCCUCUCUGGUCUGCAGAGCCCCGGCGAGGACACGCUGUCCUAGGUGCCAGAACGCCCCAGCCU
ensembl:lncRNA